CCCUCAACUACAGCCUCCGGCAGCGCAUGGACAUCCUGGACGUGCUGACUCUGGCUGCCCAGGAGCUGUCUAGGCCUGGGUGCCUCGGGAGGACUCCCCAAACUGGCUCCCCAAGUUCUAAUACCCAGUGCCUGCCGGAGGCAGCCGUCUCCCAGCCUGGCAGUGCCGUGGCAUCCGACUGGCGGGUGGUGGUGGAGGAGCGGAUCAGAAGCAAGACUCGGCGGCUCUCCAAGGUGUGUCUGGCAGGGUGGCCCGAGGCAGGGCCCGGCAGGCAGCCCCAGCAGAUUCAGCUCCGUGGCCGGCCACUUCUUCUUCCCCCUCCUUCAGCGCUUUGACAGGAAGCGUCCCACAAGGUUCCUCUGCGGUUGAGCUUUGCCAUGAGGCACCAGGCAUCUGCUCUGGGCUUGCGGCAUGGCCGGCAGUGCUGCCCGCAUGUGCCCGACGCCAUCACCCGCUGGGCCCUGCUCGCCUCCUCCUGCCUCAGCCGGUGCUGCGCUGGCCCCACAUUCAGGGCAUGAGGCUCUCGAGAUGGCAGAGAAGUGUGGGGCCCGGGCCAUGGUGCAGCAGGGGUGGGGGUCUCGGCGUUGGGAACUCCUGGCCCAGGUGGGCUUGUGCCAGACAGGCCUGC
rnacentral:sRNA from 1 species